rnacentral:rRNA from 1 species
UGCAAGUCGAGCGGAUGAGAGGAGCUUGCUCCUCGAUUCAGCGGCGGACGGGUGAGUAAUGCCUAGGAAUCUGCCCAGUAGUGGGGGACAACGUUUCGAAAGGAACGCUAAUACCGCAUACGUCCUACGGGAGAAAGUGGGGGAUCUUCGGACCUCACGCUAUUGGAUGAGCCUAGGUCGGAUUAGCUAGUUGGUGGGGUAAAGGCCUACCAAGGCGACGAUCCGUAACUGGUCUGAGAGGAUGAUCAGUCACACUGGAACUGAGACACGGUCCAGACUCCUACGGGAGGCAGCAGUGGGGAAUAUUGGACAAUGGGCGAAAGCCUGAUCCAGCCAUGCCGCGUGUGUGAAGAAGGCCCUCGGGUCGUAAAGCACUUUAAGUUGGGAGGAAGGGCUUACAGCGAAUACCUGUGAGUUUUGACGUUACCAACAGAAUAAGCACCGGCUAACUUCGUGCCAGCAGCCGCGGUAAUACGAAGGGUGCAAGCGUUAAUCGGAAUUACUGGGCGUAAAGCGCGCGUAGGUGGCUUGAUAAGUUGGAUGUGAAAUCCCCGGGCUCAACCUGGGAACUGCAUCCAAAACUGUCUGGCUAGAGUGCGGUAGAGGGUAGUGGAAUUUCCAGUGUAGCGGUGAAAUGCGUAGAUAUUGGAAGGAAC